rnacentral:rRNA from 1 species
CCUAUUGUUAGUUGCCAUCACAUAACCGUGAGGGUUGGGGUUAAGUCCCGCAACGAGCGCAACCCUAUUGUUAGUUCCAUCACAUAAUGGUGGGCACUCUAAUGAGACUGCCCGGGUCAACCGGGAGGAAGGUGGGGACGACGUCAAGUCAUCAUGGCCCUUACGCCUAGGGCUACACACGUACUACAAUGGUGCAUACAAAGGGUUGCGAAACCGCGAGGUCAAGCCAAUCCCAAAAAAUGCAUCCCAGUCCGGAUCGGGGUCUGCAACUCGACUCCGUGAAGUUGGAAUCGCUAUUAAUCCCGGAUCAGCAUGCCGGGGUGAAUACGUUCCCGGGCCUUGUACACACCGCCCGUCACACCACGGAAAGCUGGUUCUACCCGACAACGGAGGACUAACCCUUCGGGAGGUAGUCGUCUACGGUAGGGCUGGUGAUUGGGGUGAAGUCGUAACAAGGUACCA